CCGCCUCACGACAUCCGACCCGCGAGGCGCUCGAGGAAAGGCGGAAACAAGGUCGCGGCUUACCUUUCCGGCGACUUCAUUAGAGGCAAAGCACAAACUACUGGAGCCAUCCGGACAGUAACCUCCAUUAAAGUAAACCCGAAGAGGUACCAGACUGACUAAAAGAGUUAGAGCACAGUACGACCUGCCACAGUAAUAUCCCGGAAAAGCUGCGCCCAGAAUCAUGGAGCAAAAAGCGAGUGGGGCGGAUUAGCAGCCGCCACGUGACGUGAUCCAGACGGUCAGCAAAUGGCCGACCUAAACAAUUGCCGGUCGGAGCCGAAUCAGCUGAUCCGGUACCUACUCCACCUGCGCAAGCGCCAGCUAUGUCAUUAUUGUGUACUGAUGUACGUGGUAUAUUUACAUGUAAUCUUCAACCACGGAGAGGUACCAGACUGACUAAAAGAGUUAGAGCACAGUACGACCUGCCACAGUAAA